UUCCAGAAGAACGCUUGUUUGCCAAGUCUGUCAACACUGCAAACUUGGAAACUAUAAGAGGCACACUACUAAUUUAAUAGACAGACGCACACACAGAGACAGGAGAAAGAAAAAGGGAGGGGGCCAGGGGCGUGGGAGGCAUUAAAAUAUGCAAAAGCUAGAAUGAGAUUUUACUCACAAAUAUGCUUGCCAUUCUUAUUUGUUUCUGUUCCUUAAUUCCAUUGGUCAUCUUUCCAUUAUAUCAGUGAUUUUCUUUGACCAUAUAACAUACAAAUAAUUCAACGCCAUUUGAUGCUCAUAUUAACAAAUAAUUGUGCUAAAUAAUCAUACUAAACCUAAUAAUAUGCCAAUUAUGAACCCAUUGAAUAUUUUAACAUGCAUACAAAAUUAUAGUGCCAGCUAGUAUAGUUGAUGAAGUCUCUCAAUAUAGUACUAGAGACUUGAAUUAAAGCUAUCACUACAAUUAGCUAAUUUUGCACUUCAAGCAAAAAUUAUAUAUUGGGAUAAAUUAUUGUUUUGGUAAUUUGCUCAAAUAUAACAUCCAUGAUUCAAAGUGAAAAAUUCAUAGCUCAACAUUAAAGAGUUCUAGAACAGACCUCAGACACAAGA
rnacentral:misc_RNA from 1 species